rnacentral:rRNA from 1 species
AUGAACGCUGGCGGCGUGCCUAAUACAUGCAAGUCGAGCGAACAGACGAGGAGCUUGCUCCUCUGACGUUAGCGGCGGACGGGUGAGUAACACGUGGAUAACCUACCUAUAAGACUGGGAUAACUUCGGGAAACCGGAGCUAAUACCGGAUAAUAUAUUGAACCGCAUGGUUCAAUAGUGAAAGACGGUUUUGCUGUCACUUAUAGAUGGAUCCGCGCCGCAUUAGCUAGUUGGUAAGGUAACGGCUUACCAAGGCAACGAUGCGUAGCCGACCUGAGAGGGUGAGCGGCCACACUGGAACUGAGACACGGUCCAGACUCCUACGGGAGGCAGCAGUAGGGAAUCUUCCGCAAUGGGCGAAAGCUUGACGGAGCAACGCCGCGUGAGUGAUGAAGGUCUUCGGAUCGUAAAACUCUGUUAUUAGGGAAGAACAAAUGUGUAAGUAACUAUGCACGUCUUGACGGUACCUAAUCAGAAAGCCACGGCUAACUACGU